rnacentral:sRNA from 1 species
UGCCGCAGCCCUCCUUGGGCGUUUCCUCCCUAGACUUGGGCCGCUGACACGUGUCAGCGGCCUUUUUCUUUGUCGCG